rnacentral:rRNA from 1 species
AAGGCAAAACUAAUCUGCUACCAGCAGUCGAGCGGAUGAAGGGAGCUUGCUCCUGGAUUCAGCGGCGGACGGGUGAGUAAUGCCUAGGAAUCUGCCUGGUAGUGGGGGAUAACGUCCGGAAACGGGCGCUAAUACCGCAUACGUCCUGAGGGAGAAAGUGGGGGAUCUUCGGACCUCACGCUAUCAGAUGAGCCUAGGUCGGAUUAGCUAGUUGGUGGGGUAAAGGCCUACCAAGGCGACGAUCCGUAACUGGUCUGAGAGGAUGAUCAGUCACACUGGAACUGAGACACGGUCCAGACUCCUACGGGAGGCAGCAGUGGGGAAUAUUGGACAAUGGGCGAAAGCCUGAUCCAGCCAUGCCGCGUGUGUGAAGAAGGUCUUCGGAUUGUAAAGCACUUUAAGUUGGGAGGAAGGGCAGUAAGUUAAUACCUUGCUGUUUUGACGUUACCAACAGAAUAAGCACCGGCUAACUUCGUGCCAGCAGCCGCGGUAAUACGAAGGGUGCAAGCGUUAAUCGGAAUUACUGGGCGUAAAGCGCGCGUAGGUGGUUCAGCAAGUUGGAUGUGAAAUCCCCGGGCUCAACCUGGGAACUGCAUCCAAAACUACUGAGCUAGAGUACGGUAGAGGGUGGUGGAAUUUCCUGUGUAGCGGUGAAAUGCGUAGAUAUAUGAAGGAACACCAGUGGCUAAAGCGACCACCUGGACUGAUACUGACACUGAAGUGCGAAAGCGUGGGGAGCAAACACGAUUAGAUACCCUGGUAGUCCACGCCGUAAACGAUGUCGACUAGCCGUUGGGAUCCUUGAGAUCUUAGUGGCGCAGCUAACGCGAUAAGUCGACCGCCUGGGGGAGUACGGCCGCAAGGUUAAAACUCAAAUGAAUUGACGGGGGCCCGCACAAGCGGUGGAGCAUGAUGGUUUAAUUCGAAGCAACGCGAAGAACCUUACCUGGCCUUGACA